CCAGGUUUCCCACUGCUCCCCUGUGUGAGGGGAGGUGCCUCGCUGGUGCUAAGUCUGCAGGUAGGUACUUAUGAGCAGUGGGCAGAUCCACAUUCCUGCUUCACCCACCCUUCCACUCUGCUCUCCAGAAACAAAGGUGCAUGACACAGCAGUGCCAGAGAUGUUCACAGCCACUCCAGGACAGAGGAGGACCUCCUGUCUUCCAGCACUGCUCCAGGGAAAGCUCUGCCUGAGGCACGACAGAGUGAGGAAAAAGGCAGCCUGGUUCCAGCCAGGGAUGGAAAUUAUUCUGGCAAGGUGUUCGUGAACCAGAAGGUGAAAACCUGUUGGUGUCAGCAGGAGAAAGAGACUAAGAGGCAGAUGGUGUCAGUUAAAAAAGCUGGGAUCACAAGUCUGCUUCUUUUCUGAAUGAUUAUCAGGUACCCUGAUUGUGGGUUUUGGAGUAGUUAAGGCAGUCGUUUAUUCGGGUUCAUGUAAUUCUGCUCCUCUUACAGAUGGCUUUGUAACAUUCCUUUCUCAGUAGGAUGAGAGACUGAUGCCUGAAGAGAUGCUGGGUGAAUUAUAUACACUUGAGAAGGCUCUUCACACACAUGGAAUGAACACAAAGCUGAUGGAAGUGGCUGACUGUGGCUGCUAAGGGGAGUGUGGUGACCGGUCCAGGAGGACCAAAGGGAUGGAAAUGCAGCAGAGGCUUCAGCUGACAUUGGGAAUCAUGGGACAGACCCUUUUGUUGAGUGGCAUUGCUAUGCGAACUGGUGUGAUUGUGGUGGUGGAUGUCACACAGACAUCUUCCAUCUGAUGUGACAAAAAACUACUCUGCUUUCUCCCUGCCUCACCGACAUAGAAAGUCACCCGGACAUACAUGUCCACUCUUAAAAU
ensembl:lncRNA